AAGAACUGCUAGGCUGGGUUACAAAACACCAUCAGAAAACAUGACACCUCACGCUGGCGUCCUAAGCCUCCACAGACUCCACGUGAUUAGGGCCACCAUUCUGAGUCGCUCAUGCUGUGAAGACACCCAAACUGGCCCAUGUGGAAAGGAAGAAAGAGGGAAUGGAAGGAAGGUGGGAGGAAGUUAUUCCAAUACUACUCACUUCUUCGAGCCUCCUAACAGGGCUGCUCUGUAGACCAGGCUGGCCUCUCUCUCCCAAGUGCUGGGAUUAAAGGCAUGUACAAAGAGGCAAAGAGGACUCUCUAGUCUUCACGUGAAGGAGUUCUUCUGGCACACGCAUCUGCAGCUCUUCCUGCCUUGUGAACAGGGACUGAGAAAACCAAGAGAACCAGCCUAUCUCGUGUGGACAGGAAACAUGAGAUCUGUUUCUAUGGAAGCUAAGGUCAAAGCAGAGCACGGCCGAUACCAGGGUGUUUCAGCAAGUAAGACAAGCCUGGGAGCUGGUAAUUGAUCUCAAUUUCUAAAGAACAAGGACAGUGAAGAUGAAUAGUGCAGUUUAUGAGUCUUCCUUUGUUAUAUACAUUGACGCUGUGCUCAGAACAGAUCUGCAAUGACUCGUUUUAUGAAGCAAACUCAUUAUGUGUUCAUAGUUUGUCUGAAAUAUAUUUAAAAUCCUCUCAGUCAUUUUUAGGUAAAUCCUAUUUAUGUAAGAUUUAUAUUUAAGUUCUAAACUAACAUACAUACCUGUAUGGACUUUAAAACACUCUGUCU